rnacentral:rRNA from 1 species
CGCCCAAGAGAUCGGGAUAACACCUGGAAACAGAUGCUAAUACCGGAUAACAACAGAUGAUGCCUAUCAACUGUUUAAAAGAUGGUUCUGCUAUCACUCUUGGAUGGACCUGCGGUGCAUUAGCUAGUUGGUAGGGUAACGGCCUACCAAGGCGAUGAUGCAUAGCCGAGUUGAGAGACUGAUCGGCCACAUUGGGACUGAGACACGGCCCAAACUCCUACGGGAGGCAGCAGCA